GCACAGCACGUGAAAAAGCUGGCUGCCCACCCCAAUCUUUUAUUAUGCAGACAGGUUCUCUACCUGGCCAGCAACAUGUUGCCUGCUUCUUUACUGUACAUGUGGUGACAAAGAAAAGGGAAGAUGGAGCCUCCAUGUCAGAUUUCCUGCAUGCUUUUUAUUUCACUCUCAAGUAAUGGCUUUGACUGGGCCCCACAACGAUUCCACCUUUCCAUCCGAAUACGACAUCUUCAGAUUCUCUCAGUUUCCCAAGUCAAAAGGGCAGAACUUCCUGUCUGAAUUUUAAAGCCUCUGUUGCCUUGAUUUUGUUCCUGACUCAAUGGAGAUGAAUUCCGAGUUGAAGACAAACAAUUGUGCCUUGUGAACAGUCGCCACGUCGAAAAGACUCAAGAGUACUUUUGCGGAAACCUGUCUCAGGAAAAAUUCCCAGUGUGGGAGGGAAGGAGGGUGAACUCCAUCCUGGAAGGAGGAAUUCCAGUUGCUCUGAAAAUGUAAUUUUCUAAGUAAAUUCAUUAAAGUUGAAAUGUCUAAUAA
rnacentral:lncRNA from 1 species